rnacentral:rRNA from 1 species
UACAGAGGUCUCAAGCGUUGUUCGGAUUCAUUGGGCGUAAAGGGUGCGUAGGCGGCGCGGUAAGUCGGGUGUGAAAUUUCGAGGCUUAACUCGAAACUGCAUUCGAUACUGCCGUGCUUGAGGACUGGAGAGGAGACUGGAAUUUACGGUGUAGCGGUGAAAUGCGUAGAUAUCGUAAGGGAAGACCAGUGGCGAAGGCGGGUCUCUGGACAGUUCCUGACGCUGAGGCACGAAGGCCAGGGGAGCAAACGGG